rnacentral:rRNA from 1 species
AACGAACGCUGGCGGCAGGCCUAACACAUGCAAGUCGAACGCCGUAGCAAUACGGAGUGGCAGACGGGUGAGUAACGCGUGGGAACCUUCCCUAUGGUUCGGAAUAGCUCAGGGAAACCUGGGGUAAUACCGGAUAAGCCCUUCGGGGGAAAGAUUUAUCGCCAUUGGAUGGGCCCGCGUAGGAUUAGCUAGUUGGUGAGGUAAUGGCUCACCAAGGCGACGAUCCUUAGCUGGUCUGAGAGGAUGAUCAGCCACACUGGGACUGAGACACGGCCCAGACUCCUACGGGAGGCAGCAGUGGGGAAUAUUGGACAAUGGGCGCAAGCCUGAUCCAGCCAUGCCGCGUGAGUGACGAAGGCCUUAGGGUUGUAAAGCUCUUUUGGCGGGGAAGAUAAUGACGGUACCCGCAGAAUAAGCUCCGGCUAACUUCGUGCCAGCCGCCGCUGUAACAC